rnacentral:rRNA from 1 species
UGCCAGCCGCCGCGGUAAUACGGAGACUGCGAGCGUUACUCGGAUUUACUGGGCGUAAAGGGUCCGUAGGCGGCCAUGUGUGUCGGGUGUGAAAUCCUGCAGCUCAACUGCAGAACUGCGCUCGAAACUACAUGGCUAGAGUAUCGGAGAGGUGAGCAGAAUUCCAGGUGUAGCGGUGAAAUGCGUAGAUAUCUGGAGGAAUACCAACGGCGAAGGCAGCUCACUGGACGAUUACUGACGCUGAGGGACGAAAGCGUGGGGAGCGAAAGGGAUUAGAUA